rnacentral:rRNA from 1 species
ACGGUAGCACAGAGGAGCUUGCUCCUUAGGUGACGAGUGGCGGACGGGUGAGUAAUGUCUGGGAAACUGCCCGAUGGAGGGGGAUAACUACUGGAAACGGUAGCUAAUACCGCAUAACGUCGCAAGACCAAAGAGGGGGACCUUCGGGCCUCUUGCCAUCGGAUGUGCCCAGAUGGGAUUAGCUAGUAGGUGGGGUAACGGCUCACCUAGGCGACGAUCCCUAGCUGGUCUGAGAGGAUGACCAGCCACACUGGAACUGAGACACGGUCCAGACUCCUACGGGAGGCAGCAGUGGGGAAUAUUGCACAAUGGGCGCAAGCCUGAUGCAGCCAUGCCGCGUGUAUGAAGAAGGCCUUCGGGUUGUAAAGUACUUUCAGCGAGGAGGAAGGUGUUGAGGUUAAUAACCUCAGCAACUGACGUUACUCGCAGAAGAAGCACCGGCUAACUCCGUGCCAGCAGCCGCGGUAAUACGGAGGGUGCAAGCGUUAAUCGGAAUUACUGGGCGUAAAGCGCACGCAGGCGGUCUGUCAAGUCGGAUGUGAAAUCCCCGGGCUCAACCUGGGAACUGCAUCCGAAACUGGCAGGCUAGAGUCUUGUAGAGGGGGGUAGAAUUCCAGGUGUAGCGGUGAAAUGCGUAGAGAUCUGGAGGAAUACCGGUGGCGAAGGCGGCCCCCUGGACAAAGACUGACGCUCAGGUGCGAAAGCGUGNGGAGCAAACAGGAUUAGAUACCCUGGUAGUCCACGCCGU